rnacentral:rRNA from 1 species
GUGGGGAAUUUUGGACAAUGGGCGCAAGCCGGAUCCAGCAAUGCCGCGUGCAGGAAGAAGGCCUUCGGGUUGUAAACUGCUUUUGUACGGAACGAAACGGUCCGGGUUAAUACCCUGGGCUAAUGACGGUACCGUAAGAAUAAGCACCGGCUAACUACGUGCCAGCAGCCGCGGUAAUACGUAGGGUGCAAGCGUUAAUCGGAAUUACUGGGCGUAAAGCGUGCGGAGGCGGUUUUGUAAGACAGGCGUGAAAUCCCCGGGCUCAACCUGGGAAUUGCGCUUGUGACUGCAAGGCUGGAGUGCGGCAGAGGGGGAUGGAAUUCCGCGUGUAGCAGUGAAAUGCGUAGAUAUGCGGAGGAACACCGAUGGCGAAGGCAAUCCCCUGGGCCUGCACUGACGCUCAUGCACGAAAGCGUGGGGAGCAAACAGGAUUAGAAACCCUAGUAGUCC